UACGUAGGCAGCAAGCGUUGUCCGGAAUCACUGGGCGUAAAGGGCGCGUAGGCGGCUCAUGAAGGCUGUGGUGAAAGUCCGGGGCUCAACCUCGGAUCGGCCGUGGCGACUCGUGGGCUGGAGCACUGUAGAGGCGGGUGGAAUUCCGGGUGUAGCGGUGGAAUGCGUAGAGAUCCGGAAGAACACCAGUGGCGAAGGCGGCCCGCUGGGCAGUGGCUGACGCUGAAGCGCGACAGCGUGGGGAGCAAACAGG
rnacentral:rRNA from 1 species